rnacentral:ncRNA from 1 species
GAGUAAAUUUAAAAACACGUUUAAAGUUGUAAGACCAUUUAUGGGGGUUGAUGUCUACCUAGUGCUAGAAAGUUGGGGAUAUCAAUGAUCUAAUGAGAGGAGAGUUGAUGAUUGAAACCUUGGUGGAUGACGAUCUUUAACUAUAAUAGUCAUAAGAUAGCAAAAUUCUUUUCAAGUAAGUUUUGACCCACACAAAAGUUGUAAC